rnacentral:tRNA from 1 species
AGAGAUUUAGGUUAAAUCAGACCAAGAACCUUCAAAGUUCUAAGCGAGAGUGAAAAUCUCCCAAUCUCUG